rnacentral:tRNA from 1 species
GGGGCGGUAGCUCAGUCUGGGAGAGCACAUGGCUGAAGACCAUGGUGUCGCGGGUUCAAAUCCCGCUCACCCCA